ACGUUAUUUUUUACCUAGAAUUAGAUAUUUCUUGUCUUAGUAAAAAAAAGCAGCUGCUGUUGAACAACUCCCAAAGUUCCUGCUUUCGUCGCUUCCUGUUCCUGCCGUCGAACUCGCUGAUCCAAUGAAAAAUGACGGAAUUCGAAAAAUGGACUAAUGGCAUCAUAUUCCUCUUGGAAUGUUUAUUGAGUCGGCAGAUCAACGAUCUUUCGGCAUUUACAUUCAUAUAUGGCCAUUCCAGUAGCAGUGAGCACGAAUUUUCCAAACUCCUGGAAAUUAAUAAAACUUUCCUGGACGAAAAACUCCUAGUACCGAUCAGCAUUCGAAGCCAGUUAUCUUCAAUAAGAUAAUAUUGGUCCAACAAUUUGACGGCACAAAACUUGGUUCGUGGCAAAUUCUUCGUGGUUAGGCACCACGCUCGCCAAGUCGAUUUACAUCUAUUCUAUUUAUAAAUACUUUCCCUGAGAUUAGGCAUACCGUCAGAUAGCUCCGCAAUGAUGUGCAAUCAAUUAUAAUGCAUCCUUAGCUCCCAUAUUCAUCCUAUUUGAAAAUAAAAUAAUUGAUUGGAAAAAUUGUUUUUCAUAUAAACAAAACACUGAAUAAAAACCUAAUUAUAGGUAAUUUUUAACGUUUUUU